GAUGAACGCUGGCGGCGUGCCUAACACAUGCAAGUCGAGCGGCAGCGCGGGGGCAACCCUGGCGGCGAGCGGCGAACGGGUGAGUAACAUAUCGGAACGUACCCAGUCGUGGGGGAUAACUAUCCGAAAGGAUAGCUAAUACCGCAUACGUCCUGAGGGAGAAAGCGGGGGAUCGCAAGACCUCGCGCGAUUGGAGCGGCCGAUAUCGGAUUAGCUAGUUGGUGGGGUAAAGGCUCACCAAGGCGACGAUCCGUAGCGGGUCUGAGAGGACGACCCGCCACACUGGAACUGAGACACGGUCCAGACUCCUACGGGAGGCAGCAGUGGGGAAUUUUGGACAAUGGGGGCAACCCUGAUCCAGCCAUUCCGCGUGAGUGAAGAAGG
rnacentral:rRNA from 1 species